CGGUGGAACGAUUUGUCUGGUUAAUUCCGAUAACGAACGAGACCUCUGUACCAUGCUCUAGGCGCCUUGAGGCUUUGUAGUCGCGGCCGAGUGUUAUAGACAUUGGUGGAAGCGUAUGCCAGAAAGGGGCAACUCUGGAAGGUGUACUGUGAAAGCCUUUGGAAGUACCUUGGUAUCCAAACGUGACGACUCGAGUGUGUCCUAUCUUGGUAGACUGUGAAAGGUAGCUACUUUAAGG
rnacentral:rRNA from 1 species